rnacentral:pre_miRNA from 1 species
GCGUUGGUAAUCAUAAAAAUUAGUUAAGGGGUGGGGUCUAUACAAGGUUGUAGCAUUACUUGCAGAAGUAAGGUUGCGAUGUUCUACAUAGUUCAUUUUAGUUGGAUGGUGUAGAUUUAACACGUCUUUUAAGAUAGUGUCAAAAAGUGAUACGCCUUUUAAGAUAGUGCUAAAUCUACACUGUUCAAAUAAAAUGAAUGAUGUAGAUUACUGCAAUCUUACUUCUACAAGUACGGUUGCAACCUUAUAUAAACUUUUUAUUAGUUAAGAAUAAAAGCAAAAUGAUAAUCUUUUGU